GCCGGGCAUGGUGGCCCAUGCCUGUAAUCCCUGCAGCUCAGGAGGCUGAGACAGGAGGAUCAUGAGUUCAAAGCCAGCCUCAGCAACUUAGCAAGGCCCUAAGCGACUCAGAGAGACCCUGUCUCUA
rnacentral:sRNA from 1 species